UACCAGCGUUUGACAUGGUAGGACGGUUUCCAGAGAUGGAUUCCUUCCCCUUACGGGACCUACACACAGGUGCUGCAUGGCUGUCGUCAGCUCGUGUCGUGAGAUGUUAGGUUAAGUCCCGCAACGAGCGCAACCCUCGUCUUUAGUUGCCACCAUUUAGUUGGGCACUCUAAAGAAACUGCCGGUGAUAAGCCGGAGGAAGGUGGGGAUGACGUCAAGUCCUCAUGGCCCUUACGCGCUGGGCUACACACGUGCUACAAUGGCGGUGACAGAGGGCCGCAAACCCGCGAGGGUGAGCUAAUCUCCAAAAGCCGUCUCAGUUCGGAUUGU
rnacentral:rRNA from 1 species